rnacentral:lncRNA from 1 species
CACGGAACCCGCCGCGCCGGCGCGACCCCCUCCCCCAGAGCCCUCGGGUGGCUUCUCCCGCGCCCUCCCGGGAUGCUCCUGCCGGCCGGGCCGACCUCCGCGUCCGCAUCUCUCUGGGGGGGGCGAGGGGACGGGACCGAUGCUCUCCUGUCCAAGGGGCCAGGUCCUCCCAGGGCCCGCCAGAAGAGCCAUACCCAACCCCACCGUCUGUGGGCAAGGCCAGCAGACCCUCUGCCCACUCGCAGGCCAGGGCUCACGACCCGAGGGCGCCCAGAGGGAGAGGAGGCCCCUUUGUGUGACUAAAUUUGGCAAGAAUAUGGAUCCGAGCCAGUCUUUCCACGUGUGCUCCCAGCUCCCAGCUGAGAAGGCCAAGGGUUCUCUUCCGGGAGAACCAGUUUGGCUAUUAAGGGAACCUCUCAGCACAGUGCAGAGCAAGAGAAAAAGCAAGAUUUCAGAGAGAAUAGCUGUUUACCAUCAAAGCGAACUGGGUUCCACACAGACAUGGUAUAUUAUACACAGAAACGAAGGUGAAAAUCCUAAGGUGGAGAAGAGACUGAAUAUGCCCACUGUGCCCAAGGCAGGGUUAGAGUUGAUUUGGGGUUUACUUGGCUUCAUGGAUUUGAAACCAUAG